rnacentral:other from 1 species
GUGACCCUGCUGUGUUCGUGUUGCUGCAACAAUGUUCUGAGCCAACACCCACUUAUAGGGUCUCGGUCUUACGGUAGUGACGCGAUAGGCCUGAGCCAAGGCGGAUCUCCCGAGGAGGGACCCAACCUGCGAAGGCAGGUUCAGAACUUCGCUGCACACGGCACGGUGGGGUAAUU